rnacentral:misc_RNA from 1 species
UACGUAGGGUUCGAGCGUUGUUCGGAUUUACUGGGCGUAAAGGGCACGCAGGCGGUCUUGCCAGUCAGGGGUGAAAGCCCGGGGCUCAACCCCGGAACUGCCUCUGAUACUGCAGGACUAGAGACUAGGAGAGGGUGGUGGAAUUCCCAGUGUAGAGGUGAAAUUCGUAGAUAUUGGGAGGAACACCAGAGGCGAAGGCGGCCACCUGGACUAGAUCUGACGCUCAGGUGCGAAAGCGUGGGGAGCAAACCGG